ensembl:lncRNA LINC00511 long intergenic non-protein coding RNA 511
GGUAACAGCAUUCUCAGGGCCUUCUGCCAAGGGCCCGCUUUGAUCUCCCUUAAAGGACAGCAUUAUCUGACCAGAGGUAAAUUGUAACCACUGAAAGUCCGCUGUUUCGAUUCUGGGCAAGAUGCUAUGGCAGAACAGGGACCAUGAUGAACUACUUAGAAAAAUACAUAAGGCCAUAAAUAAUGUGUGAUUAUUUGAUGAAUGCCUGUCUCUCCCACUGGGACCAUCAGCUUAGAAAAGAAAUGAUGUGGAUGUGCUCACCAAGUUAUUUGCAGAGCUUAGCAGAGUGGGAUAGAAGAGACCCAUGCAGGAGACCUCUCCAGGUACACAUAUUUCCUGCUACUGAAUGGCUUAGACUGGGAUUUGCAAGGAACUACGAAGUCCAAGACCUUUGCCUUUCUUUUAGAAGAAGGCACCAGCUGGUUCUCCAAUGUUGAAGGUCUUCUCCAGAGAUACCUUAAGGUGUGGGGAGAUUACAACUUGCUCAAGGUCUCAUAGCUAGAAGAUGUCAGAGUGAUAACUCAAACCAUGUCACAUGACUCUAAGCCCAAAGCAGCCUCUAGAAGGUUGUUUGAUCUUCUGAUGGAAGCACAAAUCACCAUUCCAACAUGAAAGAUGGAGAAACUUAAGUCUAGAGAGAUUUAAAGGACUUGUCAAAGGCAAUGAAACAAGUGAUGAGGAAACUGAGGCCCAGAGAGGAUAAAUGACUUGCUCAAGGUUAGCCAGUUGGUCAAUGGCAAAGAUUAAACCAGAACCCAGAUCUCCUCUCUCCAGCCAGAGUCUUCAAGCAAAGUCCCUAGGAGGUCAAGCCAACUCUUGCUGCUGCUGCUAAUCUAAGGACAGAUGUGGCCACUUUCUCCAAAGGAUCUCAGAGAGCUAACUUUAUGGCGUUUUACAGAAGUCCUAUCUUUCCUUCAGGGGAACCCCAUUCAUUUGCAAGAUGGAAGGCUAUUUUUAGCAUUGACUUUUAUUUUCUCCUAAGUGACUUCCUCUCUCAUGUACCAUUUGGCCUUCACAGUGGCUGAAAAGACAGUUCCUAGGAAAAUCUAGAACAUUUAAGCUUGCGUGUGUUGCAGUUCUUAGAACUCUGAAAGCCACAUGUUGAGAUGGCCCCAUUACAGGAUGGAGAGCACCUGAACCCCCAAGUUAUGGACUAGAAGAAGACAGUUGCCCUGGAAAAUCAUCUGACCCACAUUGGACUUUAUGUGAGGGGGAAAUAAACCUUUAUUAUGUUAAGCUACACAAUAAUAAAUAACAACAAUAA